UUCACGGCUUCUCGGAUCAGCGUUGUUUUAUUUAUUUUUGGGAAACCACGAUACAAACACAGAGUUCACAAACACGAGCGUCCACUCACUUCGAGAGAUUGAGCCAAACAUAUUUUCACCAUAGACGCUCGGUGUAAUGUGCAUCCCCUCUCGCCGUUGACAGUUUGCUGCAGUUUCGAGACUUUUCCCAUUCUCUUCUCCGUCUCCGGCAUUCCGGAUCUCACCGAGCGAGGCCGGUGGCGGGGGCGCGCUUCGAGGAGAUCGGCGGCCAGGCGAGGGAGGCGGCCGUGCGUAGCAAGGAAGCCGGCGGCGGCGGGCUUCGAGAUGGCCGGAGGCGGCGCGACGGAGGCGGUGGCGCGCCGCAAGGAGACAGGCGGCCGCGCGCAGCAAAGAAGCCGGCGGCGGCGGGCUUCGAGAUGGCCGGAGGCGGCGCGACGGAGGCGGUGGUGCGCCGCAAGGAGAGCGGCGGCCGCGCGCAGCAAGGAAGCCGGCGGCGGCGGGCUUCGAGAUGGCCGGAGGCCGCACGACAGAGGCGGGGGUGCGCCGCAAGGAGAGCGGCGGCCGCGCGCAGCAAGGAAGCCGGCGGCGACGCGCUUCGAGAUGGCCCGGAGGCCGCGCGACGGAGGCGGUGGUGCGCCACAAGGAGAUCGGCGGCGGCGCGCUUUGAGGAGGCCGGCCGCCACGGGACGGAGGCGGCCGCACGCAGCAAGGAGGCCGGCGGCCGCGUGACGGAGGCGGCGCGCGCUUCGAGGAGGUCGGCGGUAGGUCGACGACGGCUCCCUCGAGGAUGCUAGCGGGCUGCGUGCGGCAAGGAGGGCAGGGCGUCGGCUUGGAGAAGAUUGAUAACGUAGGCACAUAGCCAGGAUAUGUGCAAAGUCCAGAAUGCCCAUACUCCGUUAAGUCUAAUGGAGUAUUAGGUACAGUAGAAAAUGCCUUGUUUAUUUGGAGCUUAGCUAUUUGUACUUCCAAAAUCCGAUCUGAAUGACCGUGCUGAGCGUAGAUCAAUUGGUUUGGUUUUUUUGUUGGAACAUCCCACCUAGGUUCAACUUUUGAAUUUGAUAUGGUGCUCACAUUUA